rnacentral:lncRNA from 1 species
GAGAGGUUGUUGUUCAUCAAUAUGCUCUCUUUAGAAUUUGUUAACCAUUUUAGAUGAACUAGUGUUAUACAGUUAUUGGAGCUCAUUUACACAUUUGGAUAAAGUAGUCUUCUGCUCUCUAAUGAGCUCGUGUAGUUUUGCUCUCCAAUGAGCUCAUGUAUUAUUGCUCUCCAAUGAGCUUAUGAGUUUAUUAUUUAUUGUUCUCUACUGAGCUUAUGUAUUUUUUACUCCCAUAAUGAGCUCGUAUACUUUUGGUCUCCAAUGAGCUCAUGUA